AGAUGAUUUCGGUUCUAUUUCUGGAGUAACUCUACUUUCGAUCCUUGCUUUUGUUUUACUCUACAAGAAUUCAUUUUCUCAAUAGUUUAUUUUUUCGACAUUUUAUUUUAGCUUAUUUUCAUUCAUUUCAAAAGCCUUAUAAAUGUGGCUCAUACAUACAUUAUGAUGCGAUAUCAGGGGCAUCAAUUUG